rnacentral:rRNA from 1 species
GAUGAACGCUGGCGGCGUGCCUAAUACAUGCAAGUCGAGCGAACAGACGAGGAGCUUGCUCCUCUGACGUUAGCGGCGGACGGGUGAGUAACACGUGGAUAACCUACCUAUAAGACUGGGAUAACUUCGGGAAACCGGAGCUAAUACCGGAUAAUAUAUUGAACCGUAUGGUUCAAUAGUGAAAGACGGUUUUGCUGUAACUUAUAGAUGGAUCCGCGCCGCAUUAGCUAGUUGGCAAGGUAACGGCUUACGAAGGCAAGGAUGCGUAGCCGAGCGGAGAGGGUGAUCGGCCACACUGGAACUGAGACACGGUCCAGACUCCUACGGGAGGCAGCAGUAGGGAAUCUUCCGCAAUGGGCGAAAACCUGACGGAGCAACGCCGCGUCAGUGAUGAAGGUCUUCGGAUCGUAAAACCCUGUUAUUAGGGAAGAACAAAUGUCUAAGUAACUAUGCACGUCUUGACGGUACCUAAUCAGAAAGCCACGGCUAACUACGUG